ACGCGAAAGCCCCCUUCGGGGGGCAAGUAGAGUGGCGCACGGGUGAGUAACACGUAGGUAAUCUACCUUCGGAUGGGGAAUAACAACCGGAAACGGUUGCUAAUACCGCAUAAUGCAGCGGCACCUAAUGGUGACAGUUGUUAAAGCGGGGGAUCGUAAGACCUCGCGUCUGAAGAGGAGCCUGCGGCAGAUUAGCUAGUUGGUAAGGUAAUGGCUUACCAAGGCGAUGAUCUGUAGCCGGCCUGAGAGGGCGGUCGGCCACACUGACACUGACAUACGGGUCAGACUCCUACGGGAGGCAGCAGUCGGGAAUUUUGGGCAAUGGGCGAAAGCCUGACCCAGCAACGCCGCGUGAAGGAUGAAAUCCUUCGGGAUGUAAACUUCGCAAGAACGGGAAGAAUAAGUAAGAGCUAACAUCUCUUACGAUGACGGUACUGUUUGUAAGCUCCGGCUAACUCCGUGCCAGCAGCCGCGGUAAUACGGGGGGAGCAAGCGUUG
rnacentral:rRNA from 1 species